ensembl:snRNA U6 U6 spliceosomal RNA
GUGCUAAAAGGACAUAUUAUAAAACUGGAGUGAUACAGAGAUUAGCAUGGCCCCUGUACAAGGAUGACAGGCAAAUUCGUGAAGCCCUGCAUAUUUUG